rnacentral:lncRNA from 1 species
GGGCUAACAGUCUUAGAUAGUUUGUGAAAUUAGUAUCACAUCUACAGUUCAAAAUUUGAAAGUGCUUGAUUAAUUGGGUGUACUGAGUGUGUGUAAAAUUUUGUGAUAAUUUAAUAGUACAAUUGAGAGAUAUUUGGGUUUUGGUACAAGAAGGUAUCAGAAGUUGGCAAUUUGAGGUUAGGUAGGGUUUUUAUGAUAUCUAAAGAUCUACUAGUUGUAUCAAAGUGAAAUUUGGCAUAGUAUUAGAAGACUUGAAGAUCAAGCCACAUACCAAUUUUAAAUUGAAGUUAACAGUUGGAGAAGGAGAAAUCACUACUAGAACAUUUGCAUCAAUUUUCAAGUUGGCGGCUAAAUAAUAUUACUAAGGUUUUUUGGCAUUUUCUCACAAUUUGU